ACAGUUUGUGCUGACACACGGGGAAACGUGGGCCGCGGUGUUUUUGUCAGGCUGGGGUCCGGGGACGAGAGGCGCCUCGCAGUCUCUGGGGGGAAAAAAUAAACUUUGCAUCAGUCUCCUCAGCAGCUCCAGUAGCAGAUCCUCAGAUCGGAGCGCCGCCCUCAGACAGCGGACUCAGAGAGAAUCUGUCAGACUGACUCAGGACGCUUUUUCGCGCAGCAACUCAUUUCUCAGCGAAGCCCGUGGAAGCAGGGAGAGUUCAGGCUUUACAUGUGAGAAUGGGCAUGACGGUGCGGGCCGAGCCGAGGGUGUAGCCACAUCUGGCAGAGCGAGCUGAGCUACGCUGAGCAGGAGCCUCAGUACGCCGGGAGAGCUGCGGCAGAGGGGAAGAUGGGAAAGAUGGAGGAGGAGAGCGGCAACGUCGGGAAGCUCUUUGAGAACUUCAUCCAGGCCUCGACCUGCAAAGGAGCUCUACAGGCCUUUAACGCCCUGUGCAGACGUUUGGACCUCGACCCGGCGGACCACGACACUUUCUACAGCAGCCUGAAGGCAAAGGUCACCUCCUGGAAGGCCAAAGCACUUUGGAGCAAGUUAGACAAAAGGAUGUCCAACAAGGAGUACAAGAAAGGUCAAGCUUGUUUGGGGACAAAGGUAAGUUCGACCACCUC